AAAAAAAAAAAAAAGAUCUUAAAGGGCCAUUAAAGUCUAUUUACUCACAUCACAAGAGUAAUUUACUUAAAUCCAACAAUCACAACAAAUAUUUAUUAAUCAUGCACUAUGUGACAAGCAGUGUGCACGGAGCUGAGAUUAUGAAAACAUGCUUAAAUCUGAUGUUCUUCCUUAAGGAAAGGUAACUGAACCUUUUAAUUAGUUGCAUGAAAAUGAACCUUUUAAUUAGUUGCAUGUACGUAUGACAAGGGCUAAAAAGGAGAAGAAGGAUGUUUCUUUAUUUUUUAGAGUUUAAAUUGUUAAGAGUUAUAUUAUGGAGCUUGUGAACACUUUUCCGUGACCCUUAAAUGUGGUGGGAUCGCACUCACCAGCAGGUGUGGUAAUAACCGCUGAUCUCAGUUUCCCUUUUAACAAAGGAUCUCCGAGUCGUGGUGUUCAGCCUUGCUGCCCCGGGGACACAUUUCUCCUCUGUCUUCUGAAUCAACUUGCUUGUUGUUGUUGUUGUGGCUCAGCCGUGUCCGACUCUGUGACGCCGCGGACUGCAGUAUGCCAGGCUUCCCUGUCCUUCCCUAUCUCCUGGAGCUUGCUCAAACUCAUGUCCACUGCUUCGAUGAUGCCAUCCAACCAUCUCGGCGUCUGUCGCCCUCUUCUCAACCUGCUGGCAGGAUCCAAAUGCACGAAACAGUUAGUUGGCCACCAUGACCACCAAAUUCUGCCUCUGUGGCACCACAGAUUUUGGCUCUGCGGACCUUAUUUCUUCUUACAUUUGUGAUGCCAGCACAUCACUUUAAGCCAGACCACCCCAGGCGUUAGGCCAGGCCUUUGCCAACUUUACCAUGCAGCGCAACUUCUGGGGAUUCUGCUGAAACGCAGACUCUGCUUCAGGAGAUGCGAGGCCUGGGUUUCCUCCUUUCCAGUUCCCUGGAGGAUGCUCUCUUGGAAAGACCACACCCUACCAGAGAGUCAGAAGGCUGUGGAAGGAUGAGAGAUUGAACAGUGCGCCCUUCUGCGUUUCCUGAUACACCCACUCCCCCUUCCACUCACUAAAUCCUCAUGGAGUCAAGCAUUCAGCAUAAGGCAGUCGUGCUACCCAUAGUUGUUAGGGUGUCUUCAUGAUCUGCUGUUCAAAAGAAAGAAAAACAAAAUCGCCUCCUUACUCAUCACAUCCCCCGCUCUUGCCUACAGAAAGUGUCCUGGGGCAGAGUCCAGGGCCCUGGAAUCUCAAAUGGGGCAGAAAGAGAGUGAGCUCCCGCCCACUCCCUCUCCCGCUUAGAGACACUCUUGGCAUUUUUCAGAUUCUCUUCUGUAGCUUCGGUGGCAAUAAAACUGUCCUCCAACAAGGGAAUCUGGGCCACCUUCCACCACAAAGCCCACCAAUUCCUCCAGGCUUGACUGUUAGGAUUAGACAGGGAAGACAUUGUUCAGGGACAGAAGGAGCCGCCGGUCCUUUGACUGGGUGGAAAUGCCAGCCGAGUGCGGGCCGCCACGCUUAGAUCUAUCGAGGGCCAAAGUCACCUGGGAAGCCCAGAAAGGUUAACACAACCCGCGUCCA
ensembl:lncRNA